UACGUAGGGUGCAAGCGUUAUCCGGAAUUAUUGGGCGUAAAGAGCUCGUAGGCGGUUUGUCGCGUCUGCUGUGAAAACUGGAGGCUCAACCUCCAGCCUGCAGUGGGGUACGGGCAGACUAGAGUGCGGUAGGGGGAGAUUGGAAUUCCUGGUGUAGCGGUGGAAUGCGCAGAUAUCAGGAGGAACACCGAUGGCGAAGGCAGAUCUCUGGGCCGUAACUGACGCUGAGGAGCGAAAGCAUGGGGAGCGAACAGG
rnacentral:rRNA from 1 species